rnacentral:tRNA from 1 species
GCGCCGGUGGUGUAAGGCGAACAUCGCUGCCCGGAAAGCAGAAGGUGCGGGUUCGAGUCCUGCCUGGCGCA